GGAGUUUUAAAGAGAAACAGCAGCACAGAUCUCCCCAGCUGAGCCCUCAUUCACAGCUGGAUUUGUGAAGCUUUAGCUGGGAUGAGAUACUAACAGCUUUUCAAUCUUCAAGCCUUUCUCAGUGCCAGCCAUUCCAGCCACCACUUCUUUCAGCCAAACACGCACAAUUCAAGGAAACACCAUGCCUGAGCUGAACAACCAGCAUGGUCACCAAAGGUAUAGCGAGAGACAGAUUUUAAUGGCAAAGUAGGAGUCAGGGGAGAGGCUGAGGGGGGUGGUCUCUGCGUGACUCUUGACUUCCUGCUUAUAUGAAAAAGUAAAGCAAACAGAUGGUCAGCAUGUCUCCCAGGGAAAUCCCACGUACCCAGGCAAGUGGGUAGCAACACCUGGGAUUUUCCAGGAGAUCUCCCACCCCAUCCAAGCAGUGGACAGGUCUGACCCUACCUACUUUGUAAAAUCUGACCUGCAGGCUUGUACUUACAGCUGGGAGCUGCUCCUUUAACUCAGCUGGCAGAGAAAUUGUCCUAGGGAGAACCAAGUUCCAGUUGUGCCCCCAGAUUCUCCCUAUAAAACACAGAGCUAUUUGCCAUGUAUUCCAGUU